rnacentral:misc_RNA from 1 species
CUUUUUCCCCCACCAUUAAACUAGACGACAUUCGAAGUCGUGUCGUAGUGUGGCGCAGCCGUGCGGUGGAAGGAGGCCACAGUUCGGAGAAACGGAGAGAAACCGCGGGAUGUUAAUGGUGGAUGGACGGUGGAAGUUACCUCCUCGCUAGUCGUAAAAAAAGGUAGAGAACUAAUGAACUGUCAUGUGAGUGGUAGGAAAAGAAAGAAAGGAUUUUGAUUGCGGUAUGUGAUGAAUGCUAACCCGGUUUGCGCCACGAAUGUAUACACGCGUGUGUUUGACGUAAUGAGAACGAGAAACGGCACGCGCGCUCUUGGUGUGGCCCUCGUAUAUUUAAUUGGAAGUGCAUGUUGCGGCCUUUCGUUUGACAUGUAAUGAUACAUCGACUACGUUAUCGGUAAGAGUCCAGGUGUAACACAAUGGAUCAGCAACAACAGCAAUUGGGUAAGAAACAUCAAACAACGGCGAAUUCACCGGAGGCGGCUAUAGCUGGUGAUGUCUUCGAUCAAUUCUGCAAUGCCACUACCCUAAAGUCUAUACUCGGCCAUUAUCGAAAUCUUUGCGAGUUGCUCAAGAUCAAGCCGAAUACGAUAAGUCAAUUUUAUCCAAAAUUGAAGUCGAAACUGCGAUCGUGGAAGGCGCAAGCCUUGUGGAAGAAAUUUGAUCAAAGGGCCAAUCACAAGUGCUACAAUCGCGGAAAGGCAUGUCCUAAUGCGAGGGUCUUGAUCAUAGGAGGUGGUCCUUGCGGGCUUCGAUCCGCGAUAGAAGCACAGUUGUUAGGUGCAAAGGUCGUGGUCGUUGAGAAAAGAGAUCGAAUGUCUAGAAAUAACGUUCUACAUCUUUGGCCCUUCGUUAUUCAAGAUCUCCGUGGAUUAGGUGCAAAGAAAUUCUUUGGAAAAUUUUGUGCUGGCUCGAUCGAUCAUAUCAGCAUAAGACAGCUGCAGUGCAUCUUACUCAAGGUCGCCCUUAUUCUUGGCGUUGAGUUCCAUGAGAGCGUCAGCUUCGAAUCGUUGAUACCACCACCGGAUAAUCAAGAGGAAGCCAAGAUUGGAUGGAGAGCCAAGACCUCACCUGCCGAUCAUCCUGUAUCGCAAUACGAAUUCGACGUGCUUAUCGGUGCCGAUGGAAAAAGAAAUACUCUUGAAGGUUUUAAACGCAAGGAGUUUCGUGGGAAACUCGCUAUUGCGAUAACAGCUAAUUUCAUAAAUAAGAGAACUGAAGCCGAAGCACGAGUUGAAGAAAUCAGCGGUGUCGCCUUUAUAUUUAAUCAAAAGUUUUUCAAGGAAUUGUAUCAAGAAACGGGUAUCGAUUUAGAGAACAUUGUCUAUUACAAGGACGAUACACAUUACUUCGUCAUGACCGCCAAGAAACACAGCUUGAUCGAUAAAGGUGUUAUUCUUCAGGAUCAUGCUGAUACUGCUAAGCUCUUGGCUAAGGAAAAUGUAGACCGAGAAGCAUUGAUGUUAUAUGCCAGAGAAGCUGCGGAAUUUUCGACGGAGUAUCAAAUGAUGGACAUGGAAUUCGCCGUUAAUCAUUACGGUCAACCGGACGUGGCCAUGUUCGAUUUUACGUCAAUGUACGCUGCAGAAAACGCAAGUCGUGUUUUAAAUCGUAAUGGGCAUAGGUUACUCAUGAUUCUAGUCGGGGACAGUCUUCUUGAGCCAUUUUGGCCAACCGGGUCUGGUUGUGCAAGAGGAUUUCUUAGUUCACUCGAUGCUUGUUGGGCAAUAAAAGGAUGGGGUACUUCCCUGACACCAUUAGAAGUAAUAGCUGAACGAGAAUCGAUAUACAGACUUCUUGGUCAGACUACUCCAGAGAAUUUAAAUAGGGAUUAUGCCGCAUACACUUUAGAUCCUCAUACAAGGUAUCCGAAUUUGAAUUCUCAUUCGGUUACUCCUGCACAAGUGCUGAGUUUGGUCGAUACAGAUGAUCCAGAGAUAAUUAAACAACCAGCUGUACAGCCUGAAAUUGAUAUCCCUAAGAAACGGCGACGUCGUGAUCUUAGAGCAGAUUCUCAAGUGCAUCCGGACGUAUUGCUUCGUUGGUUACAAAAGCAGGUUGCUCUUUAUGAAGGCAUACAUAUAGAAGAUAUGGGUGCUUCUUUUAAAAGUGGUUUAGCUAUCUGUGCCAUUAUACACAGAUAUCGACCUGACUUAAUCGAUUUUUAUAGUUUACAAACAGCGGAAGCAACAACAAAUAAUCAGCUUGCUUUUGAUAUUUUAGAAAAGGAACUAGGCAUACCUCCGAUAAUGACAGGAGAAGAAAUGUCUCAGUGCGAUGUUCCUGAUAAAUUAGCUAUGUUUUCUUAUUUAACUCAAAUAUACGAAGCUUUCCGUAGAGAGAUACCACAUAUAAAACAUCCUAAAUUGGAAUUAGACAAUGAAGAAAUAUCAUCGCAUCUAAUACUGAGCCAUUUGACGGCCGAACAGAAAGCACAACUACUUGGACAUAUUGUCAAACAAGAAAGUGCAUCACGAGCAAGACAUUCACGUAUACGGCAAUCAAGUGAAAAUAUACAGCAGCAUGGAGAUAAAAAAGGUGAUACUAUCAGCCGGCGGUCUAGGAAAAGACGAAGUAUGGAGAAGAUUGGUGCAACAGUGGAGGAAAGGCUGAAAAGACUCGAUGAAAUAGAAAAGAAUCGUGUCGAACAUAUGAAGAGGCGACAAUUCUUACGAAAAAUGGCAACACAACAAUUCUACAAAAGUAUGCAGAUGCUGCAAGCAAAUGCAAAACGGGAAAGAGAUGAGCCUUUUGAGGAUUACUCGAUAUUCUUAUAUCGUCAGACUGCUCCAGAUUUCAAGGAUAGAGUGAAAGAUCUGGAGCAGAAAAUCUUGCAUCCAGACAGAGAAUCUAAGUUACAUGCCAGUCAUCAUAGGUAUGGAAUAGAUGAAGAAUUUUCUGGAAGAAUAAAAAAUAUUGAACACAAAUUGAAGGGUUCUGGAUUGCCAGAAAAAAAACCGAGAGAUCUUCUACGUGCUAUUGGUAAAAUUGAAAAAACCGAUUGGAAUAUUAAGGAAAUAGAAAGAAAAAUAGAAGAAAACAAAAUGGGCCAUGGAAUACGACAUGACAAAGUAGAACGAGUGCCGAAAUGGAGUCGAGAACAGUUUUUAGCUCGACAAAUUAAAAUGGAGAAGAAGGGGCAUGAUGCAAAAGACGCAGAUAGUAAGUAUGCGGAAAUUGAUAAUACCCUUAAAAAUAUUGACAAGAAGAUUAAAGAGGGUAAUGUACUAGGCCACAAUAAAGUCUCAGCUAUGGCUGAGCAAUUUUCAAGUAAAACGCAGGAUACAGAACUCAAAGUGCAGAAAUCGAAUACUAAAACGCCACUGACGUUACCUGCACAAGGAGGUUCAGAAAUGUGUCAUUUUUGUAAUAAGAGGGUUUAUUUGAUGGAAAGGUUGAGUGCAGAAGGCAAAUAUUUUCAUAGAGGUUGUUUCCGUUGUGAAUAUUGUUCAACUUCAUUAAGAAUAGGAAAUCAUACAUAUGACAGACUGAAGAAUGGUGGACGAUUCUAUUGCACACAACAUUUUGGUCUUCCAGGUACUAUGAAAGCUAGAAUUGAAAAGAAGAAAUCUAUAGUAAAUAAAGAAAAUGUAGCACAUACGUCUACUGAUGCAAUAGUUCCAGAAAAGAUUAAUAUACAAACAGAAGGAGUCGUAGGACUUGACUUGCUUGAUCGCGGUCAAACGCCAGAAAGAAUUGAAUUUGAAAAUUUAGCUAGAAUAUCAGAUACAGAAGAAGCACACAGUCAAAUGGACGAAGACGAAUGGACGGAUAGAAAUUUUGGUGCUUCUGCCGCAGAGAUGGGUUCCAGUGAUGAUAUUUCUGAUAUGAGUGAUUCAGAUGACGAUAAUGAAGUUUUUGAAGAAGCAAUAGACCAGCCAUUGACCACAGAGGGGACUUUAGAAUUAGCUAAAAAUUGGACUCUUCGUUAUUCCAAUUCUCAAAACGCAACUGGACAAUCUGAUACAGGAAGUAACGAAUAUGAAGAUUCUAGUGAUGAAUAUACUAGUGAAGAAGACGAAAGCAGUACUGCGACAGAAGAUGAAGAUGAUGCACGCGCUCGGGAAUUACGAAAGCAGGAGGUCUGGUUGCCAGUUCCUCCAAUGAGUUCUGACACAGAUACCGGUUCAGAAACAGAGGUUGCUUCCGACGAUGGAUCGACAGAAGAAAGCGAAGAAAAUUCAGCCACAGAAAUAUCUACAGAUUCUGAAUUUGAACACGAUGGAGUUACACCAACGCAACAUGAAAUUCCAGAAAUUACAAUAAAUGAUGCAUACGUUCGAAAGACCAGGGGUAAUUAUGUGGAGCCUAAGAAAGUACAAGUGAAAAGUAAAAUAAUAUCAUCGAUUAAUGGAAAGUUUAAACAAGAAAACGAAACAGAAGGUAAAGUUGAAUUGAGAAAUUUAACCCCUACAAAAAAAACAAUACAACAAGAAAUUAAAACUGAAUCAAAAUCUCCAAUGCUUGGAUCUAGUUUCAACACAAACAAUCUGUCACCAUUAGUUAAUCCACGGAAAGGUGACUACCUGUUAAAUCGCACGCAUUCUACAGAGGGAAUUGCAUCUAAAUUGUCUUUAGAACUCAAAAAAAGAUAUUUGCUAGGUGGACCAGCUCUUGCUGGCUCCGUUAUGAAGUCGGGUUCUACUUCAAAUGUAGAUACAAAAUUAAGAAGUCUCACAGAUGCUAUUUCUCAGCAUCAGAAACUUUUAAAUCCAGCUCCUGAACCAAGUCCAACAAUGCAAGCAUUUUUACAAGGCACAAGCAAAUUGCACUUAAGUAAUACUCAACUUUCUCCAUUAUCACCUACUAUGUUAUUUUCCGGUCAAUCUGUCAGGCCACUAUCAGUUAAUCUAGUUUCAAAAAUUAAUCUAAACAAUACUACUAACGAAAAUAAAGCUACUAGUGGAAUAUCAGAUGAAUCUAAGAUACAUCUUCCAGAUUUGGUAACAGAAACAAGUAUUUUAAAAUCUAGAACUGCUCCGAACGUUAGUGAAUCUAUGAAAGAUAUUGAGAAAAAACAAACUGAAGAAAAAAUUUCUCCCAAUAAAACUAAUGAUACUAAUACAAAAUCUUUGAUAUCAGAGAAUGUUAAUAUCGAAAAUACAGAAAAAACUGUUUCUACGGGUUUAGAUGAAAAUAUUAGUUGCCGGCCUCGUAGUCCAUUACAUGAAACAUCAAUUAUUGUUCCUGAAGUACAUUGGGCUAAAAACAAAGAAGAGCUUAAAGAAGCGGACAGUUCGGAAGAUUCAGAAAUCGAUAGCGAUUCUUUAUCUUUAAGUGAUGUUGAAAUAGAGGAAGAUAACAAGCGAGAACAACUACUUACUACAAACUUAUCUCCGCCAAGGCUUCAAAUUCAUAGCACAGAUGGAGAUCUUUUGUUGGAUGAAGGUAUUGAUAAGAAUAAAAUAUUAGAUAUCUGUUCAACAUUUGAACCAGAUUCUAUUGAAUGUUCAUUCUUACGAGAUGAGCAACCAAAUAAUGAACAAAUUGCUGCACACUUAGUACAAUCAUCUUUAAAUAAUGAAAAAUUAAUUGAAGUUUUAAAUAAUAAAAUAGAGGAAUGUGAUCUACAUGAUAAUAAUAAACAAAGAAGUAUAAGCAGUUGUAGUAGUUCCGCAUCAGUAGCAUCUGCUAUAUCUAAUAAACAAGAUGAUUCAGAGGAAAACGACGUAACUACGACAGCUGCUCUUACUGAAACAGAAUUUUCAGAAUGGGCUCGUGAUGGUCAAGAUUUAGUUUCUUAUGAUUUGCAAGAUUCUGAUUUUGAUAUAAAUCCUGAAUUUGUAACUAAAAGAAAAACUUCAAAUCUAUUUCAUGGAAAAUCAUCUGUGUGUAAUUCAGUGAUGAAAAGAGAAAAUCCAGAUGAUACACAAGCAUAUACUUACAGAUCAGAAGGAAGAACAGAAUUUCCAUCUAAUAAUACUUCCGAACUUCUUGCUAAUGGAGAGGACAUUGAUUAUAUGGAUACAGAUAAUGAAUCUCUUUUAGACGAUAGUCUGCAAGAUGCGACUAAUAUGGCAUUACUUAAGAACAGAGGAUAUGUUGAAUUUGUAAAUAUUAAAACCAUUACUUCCUUAAGAAGUAAUAUGACAAACGAUGCGCCAAUAGCAACAUUAGAAUGUGAAAACGAUAUUUGUUCAGAAGAGGAAAUCCUUAAUAAUGAGAAUAUCAUUGAAAUCAACCCUGUAACUAUGGAUGAUGUUAUGAAUAAAUUAAAUGGUGCUACAAAUUCUGUGGAUACUAAACUUCAAGAAAGUUCAAUAUUUAAUAAUGCAGAGUCAAAAACUGUCCAAGAGGCACAAACUAUUUCAGAAACAAUUAACAAUGAUUCAUUGCAAUCUAUGGAUGAAGAUAGUCUGUUAAUAGUUGAACCUGCUGAAGAUACAACUACCAGUGAGGUCAUUACAAUUCUUGCUAGCCCUGUUAAUCCACAAAAAUCCAUUGUGCCUAAAGAAGAGAUACAUGAGCAAAUACAACAAGGAAAAACGCUCGCAGACUCGAGUAACCCAGAUUAUUUGGAAUAUGUAAAACGUCUCCAAUCAAGAAUUGCCGAAUUUAGUAAUGCUAAAGAUUCGAUAGAUGUCCGAAAAUCUAAAAGAAAGAAUUCUAAAAACUUGGUAGCACAAACUCGAACAGCGGAAUUAAUAGCCGAAGAGAUUAGAAAUCAAGAGUCAUUUAAUAAUAAUAAUCUUAAUUCUCCGGCCACUUCUCGUAAAUUAGAAGAAAUUACAAGAGAAAGAUCUAAGCAAAAAAAUGUUAUUGAAGAUUUGUUAAUGGAUAAAUUGGUUGCACAUAAACAAAAGUCUGCAGAAAAGAAAGCCAGGAGAGCGGCAAGGGCUUCUUCUUUUAGUUCUAUACUAUCUCCAGCGAAACUUUCUACUAACAUUGCUACUACUACUACCGGUGCUACUAUAGCUGAUAAUAUAUCUGCAACUAAAUUCGUGCCAACAUCUUUAGAAACACAAAUUAGUAAUACCACUCAUAAUAUGACGUUUGCUGAUGCAAAAAAACUAUUGCAGGCAGAGCAAUCACUGACUCUCGAUUCUAGUGUAUCUCAGCAAACAGGAAACAAUGAAAGUACUUCUUAUACAAAAACAACAAAUCAAAUAGAACAAUCUGAAGUAAACAAAGAUUUUAAAACUCCUAUUGCACCACCUAGAUUCAAACAUGAAGAGGCCAAACGAACAACUGAAAAGGCACGACAAGAUGCGAGAGAAAGAGCUAGGUUGAAAAGUGAUGAAGAUCUAGGAUUAAGUCCUGAGGAUAAAAUCAAGGAAUUAAAAAUGAAGUUUGCACGUCGACAACAUUCGGUCGAAGAAAGAAGAAAAACAGAAGAUAUGGCAUCACCUGAAAUUAAAAGCAGGUCUUUUAGCUUCUCUAUAAAUAAACCAGGAUUGAAGCUUCAAACGAGUAAAAGUACAGAUAAUAUGAAAGCAAUAACAAAAAAAAUGAAUCUUAAAGAUGUAUCUACCAUAAGUGCAAAAUCAAUGGACGAAUUAUCAAAACAAACAAAUUCGCCAAAUUCUGAUAACGUAACCAGUGGAAUAAAAGGAGAUGCGAAAAAAGCGAAGGAUCCAGAAAGACGGAAAAGUAUUAUUCAGGCAGUUUCUGACUUCUUCUUCAAAAAGGAACCGUCGGUCUCUCCACAAAAGGACAAGCUAUCGAUGUUCCGCCUUUCAUCAAAAUCUAAAGGCAAAUUAUAUAAAUCAUAUUCGGAUGGGUCAGAUGUAAGCAACUAAGUCAUUGAUAUUAACUUUUGCCAUAUUAGUUUACUUGUGCCAGUAUUUGUAUUAGCUAUUGCAUAUCAUGCAGAUUGAUAAAGUGGAUUCUACAAAAUUAAAGACACGGCCCAAGAGUGUUUGUGAAAGUAUGCUUAUAGGAAACUACCUCAAUGAAAAUCCUC